AGAGUUUGAUCCUGGCUCAGAUUGAACGCUGGCGGCAUGCCUUACACAUGCAAGUCGAACGGCAGCACGGGGGCAACCCUGGUGGCGAGUGGCGAACGGGUGAGUAAUACAUCGGAACGUGUCCUGUAGUAGGGGAUAGCCCGGCGAAAGCCGGAUUAAUACCGCAUACGAUCUAGGGAUGAAAGCGGGGGACCGAAAGGCCUCGCGCUAUAGGGGCGGCCGAUGGCGGAUUAGCUAGUUGGUGGGGUAAAGGCCUACCAAGGCGACGAUCCGUAGCUGGUCUGAGAGGACGAUCAGCCACACUGGGACUGAGACACGGCCCAGACUCCUACGGGAGGCAGCAGUGGGGAAUUUUGGACAAUGGGGGAAACCCUGAUCCAGCAAUGCCGCGUGUGUGAAGAAGGCCUUCGGGUUGUAAAGCACUUUUGUCCGGAAAGAAAACGUUUUGGAUAAUACCCAGAGCGGAUGACGGUACCGGAAGAAUAAGCACCGGCUAACUACGUGCCAGCCGCCGCGGUAAUUC
rnacentral:rRNA from 1 species